CCAGUGGACCCAUCGUGUAUGCGGAACCGGACUUUCUGUGGCCCGCUAUAGAGAAAUUUGCUGGACUGAAGAAGACUUCCCUUUUCGCUGUUUGAGAUGCGUAGAUCCCAUCAAUGAAGUGGUGAUCAGUAACUUUGAUGUCAGUUUCCAGUCAGAAGAUGCAGAAGAAAUGAGAGUACCAGACCUAUCGGAAAUCACAUUAUGGCUUCACAUGUACUCUAAGAAGACGAAUAUGACUGUAACAAAAAACUUCAGAUACCAGAACAUUCUGGUGCUGCAGCGUCAGGAACAAGAAGACAACCUGUCCGGCAUCGUUGAUACAGGUGGACGACACCUACAAUGAAGGGAAACACCGCCACUUCCCAACGAUCCUCAAGUGAAGACGAUAAUCCUGGACUUUGAACAGGCUGUGUGGAAAGCAAUCAGUAAAACCCUUCCAGAUCCCGCAUCCGUGGAUGCCUGUUCCACAUGACUCAAGCAGUCUGGUGGAAAUGUCAAGAAAUUGGAUUGCAGGUAGCCUACAUGGUGGAUGAUGUCAUCCACUAGUUUGUAAGGAAAAUCAUGGCACUCCCCUUUCUACCAGCAGCCGACAUCACGAGGAUGUUUUUGAGAAUAACAGAGCGUGUCCCGG